UUGAACUCCGUCCCUUCCAACUUUAGUAUUUUCUUUUCCUUAAUUCACCAAAAUACCAUAUGAAAACUCUACAUAAACAUGAACAUAACACCUCAUAUCAUACCAUAGAAAAGAAAAAGAAAAAAACACUUUCAAAUUAAAGGUUAUGGAGAAAGAAAGUGAAGUAGUUUUACUUGGCUCCUGGUUCAGCUCCUACAGUAACAGAGUUAGACUUGCCCUUGAAAUCAAAGGCAUCGAAUAUGAAUACAUAGAGCAAGAUCUAACAAACAAAAGUCAAGAACUCCUCAACUACAAUCCAAUACAUAAGAAAGUGCCUGUUCUUGUCCAUAAUGGGAAACCUAUUGUUGAAUCAAUUGUCAUACUUGAAUAUAUCGAAGAUUGCUGGAAAAAUUCGCCCAAGUUGUGGCCAGAGGAGCUUUAUGAGAGAGCCUAAGUUCGGUUUUGGAUAAACUAUUAUGAUCAAAAGAUUGGACCAAGCUCAAAGGCUGUUCUAAUGUCAAAAGGAAGUGAAAAAGACAAGGCAAUAGAAGAAUCAAAUGAGGUGCUAAAGGUGCUUGAAGAGGGAAUUGAAAGGGAUUUUCCAAAAAGAUCACCAUUUCUGAAUGGCAAGAAUCCAGGGAUUCUUGAUAUAGUAAUAGGUUCAAGUGCUUGUAAUGUUGAAGCAUUCACUGAAGCUAUUGGAGGAGGAGAAAAAGAUCUUAGCCUGGAGAAAUACCCAUGCCUUUUUGCACUUGUUACUGCUCUGAAAAACUUACCUAUAAUGAAACAGCAUCUUCCACCACACCAUGAUCUUGUUGCUAAGAUAACGCAGAAGUUUAACUUAAACCAGGAUGCUUGAUUUUAAAGUAUAAUUUGAUAAACUAAAAGGGUAUGUUCUAUAGGCAAGAUACUCUUAACAGCUUGUCUAGAUCAUUGUUACUCAUUGUAUUGUUGAUUUAAAUGCACUGUUUAUUUUGAUUGUUA